GUUGGGAUUGAGGCUGGGCGUUUGCGUGGGAUUUACGGUUCUUUGAUGUGUGAAGCUAAACUAUCAAAGAAGCAGUAUGAGUUUGGAGGGAAGUCCUAGUGCAGAAAGACCUCUUGCAGGCACAGGGCCUUUGCACCGUGCAUGGGGAAAGCAAAAAUAACUCUAGGUUUAUGCGAAUUAAAAUGUGGGGGGAAGGGUGUCACCCACCCUUCCCCCCAAACACACACUGCGGUGUCCUUCUUCCCUCCGCAGCUCCUGGGGAUAUUUUCAAGCAUGGUCUCAUACAGCGAGUUGGCAUAUUCAUGAAAUGAUAGGAAACCAGAAUGGAAUAAAAUGAGGUGAAUAACUCCACUGAUGUGCAUCGAGGUCACUCGGUGGGCAUUUAUGUCUGAAGCUGCACAGGUGAAUGCUCUCAGGAUCACAGCCUAGCACCAGGUGCCACGUCUGGGAACACCACUGGGGAUGCAGAGUGAGGUGAGAGAGACUGAGCUGAUGGGGGAGACUGGAG